rnacentral:rRNA from 1 species
UACGUAGGGUGCGAGCGUUGUCCGGAAUUACUGGGCGUAAAGAGCUCGUAGGUGGUUUGUCGCGUUGUUCGUGAAAACUCACAGCUCAACUGUGGGCGUGCGGGCGAUACGGGCAGACUGGAGUACUGCAGGGGAGACUGGAAUUCCUGGUGUAGCGGUGGAAUGCGCAGAUAUCAGGAGGAACACCGGUGGCGAAGGCGGGUCUCUGGGCAGUGACUGACGCUGAGGAGCGAAAGCGUGGGGAGCGAACAGG